AGAGUUUGAUCCUGGCUCAGGAUGAACGCUGGCGGUAUGCUUAACACAUGCAAGUCGAACGAAAGUCUUCGGAUUUUAGCGGCGGACGGGUGAGUAACGCGUGAGACUCUACCUAUAGGUUGUGGAUAACAGCUGGAAACAGCUGCUAAUACCGAAUGUGCCGAGAGGUGAAAGCUUUAGUGCCUGUAGAAGAGCUCGAGUCCGAUUAGCUAGUUGGUUGGGUAAAGGCUGACCAAGGCGACGAUCGGGAGCUGGUCUGAGAGGAUGAUCAGCCACACUGGGACUGAGACACGGCCCAGACGCCUACGGGAGGCAGCAGUGGGGAAUUUUCCGCAAUGGGCGAAAGCCUGACGGAGCAAUGCCGCGUGAAGGAUGACGGCCUAUGGGUUGUAAACUUCUGUUCUCAGAGAAGAAUUUUGACGGUAUCUGAGGAAUAAGCAUCGGCUAACUCUGUGCCAGCAGCCGCGGUAAUAC
rnacentral:rRNA from 1 species